GUUUAUAUUAUUUUUUUAGUAAUUUGACAAAUAAAUGUGAUUUAGGAAGUCAUAAGAUUGAGACAUGAAUGUGCACUAGUGUUAUGUGAUUGUUGCUUUGAUUAACUGUGGAGUUGUUGAGGCAUAAUUUCAUGCAUUUUGAAUUGCUUUGAAAGAGAGUUGGAAUAUCUUUGCUUCUACUAAAUCUUAGGAUUCUUGUGAGAUCAUAUUUGUUUGCUAAAACUCUACCCGAUUGAUCCUUAUAUCCCUAACAUGGCACAUGCAUCCAUUUUGAAAAAAUCAAAGGCCCUUCCCCUUCUGGAAAAAAAGAAGAAAGAAAAAAAGGUAAGAAAAAGGAAAUUACAUCUACUCCGCUGGUUUAGGUCACUUAGUAACUGGGUAACUUCAUCACAAAUGUUGUUAUUCACGUAAAACGGUGGCCGGAGCUAUGAGUAUGCAAAGCACUUUAGGUAAAACGUGUUUUGGUUGAGUAACCGGGUGCCUUCACCACAAGUGUUGUCAUUCGCGUCAAAAGGCCAGAAUGCGACGUUUUUUGGUUGAGUAACCGGGUGCCUUCACCACAAGUGUUGUCAUUCGCGUCAAAAGACCGGAAAACGGCCUAAAGAACACAAGUCACGGGCAAAAAAAAAGGAAAAAAAAAAGCAAAUAAAAGCCGUGACAAAAGCAAAAGGGGAAGAAAAAAGAAAAAAAAUUCAUUAGUGGCCAAAGAAAAGAAAGAAAAGCGAAAUCCGUCCCGACUAGGUAGAUGUAAGGAGAUAAAGGGUAUUGUUUCAGCGUCGAGGAUAACAUUUAGAAAUCCAUAGAUUUUGUGGAAGCUUGAUUGUCCUCCUCUAUACUUGGCAAAAUGAAGUGUUGUGAUGUGAUUGGCCUCUUACCCUCGUUAUGAUAAGUUAGCUUUUGCAUAAUGUAUUGCGGCGUUUGUGUUUUGAGAUUACAUGCACAUAGUAUUUCAUUAUGUUGGAGGCAGUAACUUUAAAGACAUUGCGGCUGUCCUUUCUUUUCUUUAUUGAUUUAUUAAAAACUUGUCACAUUUCUUGGUGCUGAAAAUUUUUGUGUGUAAAAUCCUCUACUUUAGGCAUGCCUUUUUCUUAUGAAACUACUAUUGUUGGUUGGGAGGAGGAGGAGAUAGAUUCUGGCCUUCUAUUUAUUGUAACAAUAUUUAAAUUCUAUUUUAUUAUAGUUUUCUUCAAUCUUAUGAAUUAUUCCCUUUAGAUUGCCAUCCCAGCAGGGUGAGGGUGCAAGUUCAGUAUAUAGCAGUAGUGCAUCUUAUCCAUUGAAAAUCAACAGAUACAAUUAGAUACCAUCAUUUGGUAAUAUUAGGUCUGUGUUACUUUUUGUUGUUCUGCAUCUUUAGUGAUUUAAUCUUUGGUUGCAUUCUUAAAUCAAUGUUUUUCGUGACUACUGGUGCAAAAAGCUCAACCCAAGAUAUCACUCGGGGUUCAGUCCUGGAUAUUAUUGUGGAGAUGCUGCUGAUAUUGCUAAUACUGAAUCGUCGAGUGUUGCAAGAGAAGCUGCAAUACCUAGUGCUCUUUGUGCAAUACAUAAUGAAAUUACCCAUAUUGGUUUAUAAUGCUCUUUGUGCUCAUGUGGAUGACUUUGUUGCUGGCAUUUUCUGUGUGACUGUCUGAGCUUGUAUAGCUUGUGAAGGUGGUCAUAUUUUUAUUUUUUUAAAUUGAACAAAAUGUUGGAACUCUAGUGUUGAAGAUGCUUUGUGGUGACUAUUCUUUGAAUGG